GACGAACGCUGGCGGCGUGCUUAACACAUGCAAGUCGAACGGAAAGGCCCUGCUUUUGUGGGGUGCUCGAGUGGCGAACGGGUGAGUAACACGUGAGUAACCUGCCCUUGACUUUGGGAUAACUUCAGGAAACUGGGGCUAAUACCGGAUAGGAGCUCCUGCUGCUUGGUGGGGGUUGGAAAGUUUCGGCGGUUGGGGAUGGACUCGCGGCUUAUCAGCUUGUUGGUGGGGUAGUGGCUUACCAAGGCUUUGACGGGUAGCCGGCCUGAGAGGGUGACCGGCCACAUUGGGACUGAGAUACGGCCCAGACUCCUACGGGAGGCAGCAGUGGGGAAUAUUGCACAAUGGGCGGAAGCCUGAUGCAGCAACGCCGCGUGCGGGAUGACGGCCUUCGGGUUGUAAACCGCUUUCGCCUGUGACGAAGCGUGAGUGACGGUAAUGGGUAAAGAAGCACCGGCUAACUACGUGCCAGCAGCCGCGGUGGUACGUAGGGUGCGAGCGUUGUCCGGAUUUAUUGGGCGUAAAGGGCUCGUAGGUGGUUGAUCGCGUCGGAAGUGUAAUCUUGGGGCUUAACCCUGAGCGUGCUUUCGAUACGGGUUGACUUGAGGAAGGUAGGGGAGAAUGGAAUUCCUGGUGGAGCGGUGGAAUGCGCAGAUAUCAGGAGGAACACCAGUGGCGAAGGCGGUUCUCUGGGCCUUUCCUGACGCUGAGGAGCGAAAGCGUGGGGAGCGAACAGGCUUAGAUACCCUGGUAGUCCACGCUGUAAACGGUGGGUACUAGGUGUGGGGUCCAUUCCACGGGUUCCGUGCCGUAGCUAACGCUUUAAGUACCCCGCCUGGGGAGUACGGCCGCAAGGCUAAAACUCAAAGGAAUUGACGGGGCCCCGCACAAGCGGCGGAGCAUGCGGAUUAAUUCGAUGCAACGCGUAGAACCUUACCUGGGUUUGACAUGGAUCGGGAGUGCUCAGAGAUGGGUGUGCCUCUUUUGGGGUCGGUUCACAGGUGGUGCAUGGCUGUCGUCAGCUCGUGUCGUGAGAUGUUGGGUUAAGUCCCGCAACGAGCGCAACCCUUGUUCACUGUUGCCAGCACGUUAUGGUGGGGACUCAGUGGAGACCGCCGGGGUCAACUCGGAGGAAGGUGGGGAUGACGUCAAGUCAUCAUGCCCCUUAUGUCCAGGGCUUCACGCAUGCUACAAUGGCUGGUACAGAGAGUGGCGAGCCUGUGAGGGUGAGCGAAUCUCGGAAAGCCGGUCUCAGUUCGGAUUGGGGUCUGCAACUCGACCUCAUGAAGUCGGAGUCGCUAGUAAUCGCAGAUCAGCAACGCUGCGGUGAAUACGUUCCCGGGGCU
rnacentral:rRNA from 1 species